AGGAACUGGCAUGGCACCCCCUCCUCAGUGGCGCCUAGGGCACGUGCCCAGCCUGCACCCCCAGUUCCGCCUAUGCUUGUGCCUGAUCCAGCAGGGCUAUUCUUAUGUUCUUGCUUGUAAACCCCAGUGGCUUUAAUAACUGGGGUCCUGUACUUGUUGUUGUUGUUUUCUUAUUUUGAAGCCCAAGCUGCACUUUUGCUGCUGUUUUCUGUGUGCCUGGUGUACCAUUUUUGUUUUUUGUAGGCUGGUGUGUUCUGUCUGUUGCCCAGCCUUCCAGACUCUCUGUUUCCCCUUUUGGGGUUUUUGUUUUGUUUUGUUUUGACUUGAUUGUUUGGGUAGAUGGGUGCCUUACCAUAGCUGCUCUACCACCAGCUGUUGAGUCCCAGAGUCUGCUUGGCCCAAGAGUGCCUCCAAGAACAACACAUGGCAGACUCCAGCAGAAGAUGCCAGAAGCCCCAAUGGAAGACAUCAGAAGGUGAAACACCUGCCCACCUUGGUCAGCCCUAGAUGGAGGGUGAUGGUGGCAGCAGCCCCAGAAUGAGCCAGCAGCCCCAGUACCAUCACCACCAAAAUGAUCCUGGACUGACAGAAGCCUGGAGCUUUCCCAGACAGCAGGCUUUACCGCAGGUGUACUGAGAAGAUUUACUUUGGUAUGACAGUUUUCCCCAGCCACACCAUCAAACUGCAUAGAAGAGACCUUGCAGUCAGCAUCCACCAAAAUGAAAGGAAGGGGAAAAAGAAACUUGAAGAUGUUUCCUUUCACAGCUUGUGGAUGAACCUGAAGGAUACAACAAGAGAAAUUUCUAUACUAGGUGGCAUAGCAAUGCAAGAAAGAAAGAAAGAAAGAAAGAAAGAAAGAAAGAAAGAAAGAAAGAAAGAAAGAAAGACGCACAGGUCUGGCAACCUCUGGCCCCUUCAACUCCAGUUUUGUGUUACAUGUGAAUGGAGUGUCUGUGUCCUUGCAGCUUGCUUCCUUCAUGUGAUAGAUGUGGUGGAAGCAGUGAGGAGUUAGUAUAACCCCUUGCCAUAGGGUGUAGUACCUGGUUCAGGGUGGUGGGUGUGGUCAAGUAGCUACUCUGCUGUGAGUAGACACAGAGCGACAGGAUGGAUGGAUGGAUGGAUGUCUGAUGCAUUAAACAGAAGUCAAACCGGCCCUAGCCCUUUGCUUAGGUGAGCAUACAGUAUGUGUAUUUAAUUAUAAGGGGGAGGGUAUUUUGUUUGGCUGUUAUUAUGUGUAUGUAUUAUUUAAUCACAGGGCUGUAAUUCUUGAGUUUGACUUGUGGACCUUCAUGGAAGCCUACAAGUAGAGUGCUUGAAAACAGAAGAGCUGGAUCAAGCCAGGAGUUCAAAUUGGACAGUUGUUUACUUUCUCUUUUCCCAAAGCAGAUAGGAUAAUUUGAACAUUGGACUUUUUAAAGACAAAAGGGGGACGUGGUAACGACAUGU